GAACAGACAGUCCACCCCAACUCCCCACUUUUCUCAAGCCAGUAGCAGAAAGAAAAGGGGGGGGAAACACCAUUAAGAGUUCAGCCUACCACUUGGUUAAACAGCAAUCUGUGGAUGGAAGCUAAGGGAACCAGGUGGCUUAAAUGUUAUUUGAGUAGCACAAUUUUUUAGCUGGUUGUGGUUGGUCAGACUGUGAUAUUAUGGCAUCCGCAGGUAUGGCUGGGAAAGAUUUCUUGUAAGAAACAGUAGACAGCUGCUGCCAGUCGGUGUAGAAAAUACUGAGCCAGAUGGGCCAUUGUUCUGGCUCAACAUAAAGUAACUUUCUAUGACAUAUGUUCUCUGUGCUGUGAGCUUGAAGAGCCAUGUCCAAAUUCCUCCUAAGCAACAAAGCUGAAUGGGUAAUUAUGGGCCAGUCACCAGCUCUUAUCCCAGCCUAGGCUCACAGGGGUGUUGGGAGGAUAACCGGAGGACAAGCUUGUAAAUUGUCCCAAGUUCUUUAGAGGAAGGGUGGGUUAAUCAUUUUAAUACCAGUAGUAGUGUCAGCAUUUCUGCCCCUCCUUUCAGGGUGAAACCUCCAAGGCAGGUUGCCACACACAAACACACACACACACCCUCAUAAAACACACUGAAAUAUAUUAUUAUUAUUAUUAUUAUUAUUAUUAUUAUUAUUAUUAUUAUUUGAAUUCAUAUCCUGCCCUAUACUCAGAGAUCUCAGGGCAGUUCACAGAUAAGAACCAAUUCAUUAAUAACCAUAUACUCCAGAAAUAGAUAAGGGAUUUUCCUAAUGUGCAGCCCUGUACCAAAAUGAGCACUCACACUUUACAUUGUGGGUGCCCUUUGCAGGAUUGCAUAUGGUGUGCUGGCUUGCCUCUCAUUGUUAAUUUCUGGAGGUUCACGCCCAGCCUCAGUAACCUUCUUGCUGCAAGGUGGGCCAGCCUCAUUUAUAAAUAGGGGGUGGAGCCGACAACAGCUUUCCUUUGUUUAAUCUUUCUUGUUUGCAAGUUAACUUUUUCUUCCUGUUUAGCUAUGGUCUUUGACUAGUUGCUGUAGAAGGACUGGGAAGAAAUUUUCCUGCAUUGGCAGGUUUUGUCUUCCCCGUAGCAAUUCGUCACAACUUUGGUGGUUAUAGCCUUAGGUGGAAUCCUUUAGUCCCCCUGCAGCAUUGUUUCCAGGGUCCCCCUCUUAAAGGGGUUACAUAUAUGGGUGUCGCUGGUCAUACACUGAAAGGUUGUCAGUGAAUGACCCUGCAUGCGGGGUAUGGGCUUGGCUGUCUGCUACACUUACAUCUUGCAGAGCAUCCCCAUAUCCCAUUUACCCUGAUGAGCCCCAGUUCCCCCCGGAUGGGGGGCUGGGAGGGAUACAUGCCCAAGACCUAAGCCAAGGUCUUCAGAAGUUUAAUAAAGUUGUGGCCUAAUUUUGAUUCCAUAUAACAUUGCCAGAGUCUUUAUUCCUUCCUUAUGAUCCCUGGGGGCUGGGGCUGUCGCCGCCUGGUCAUGCAAUGUGCAGCUCUUUAAGCCAAUUUGUCAAGUCUAAUGAUAACUUUUACAGUUCUCAAUCAGUACUCAAAUAAAGAAUGAAGAUAAAGAAAGGUAUUUACUCAACAAAUGUCUGGUAACAGCACAUACCAUUUGUGUGGUUUGUUGGUGUGUGUGUUCUUUUCUUCCUUGUAAUCCUCAAAAUGCCUUGACUUUCUUCUUGGGCUGGCUUCGUACUGAGAAAUGUCAUUCAAAUUCUGAAAUAAUUGUGAUGUUCUAGAAAUUUAAUAUAUGCUAUGAAGUUCUUAAUGUACUGUGACAAAAGGCAUAGGAAGAUGUGGGGUAGCAAGAAAUAUUUGAGGGGAGUGAUGGCUACCCAGUGGAUUAUUCCCUGGACCUGGUAUAAAGUAGGAAUCAGUCAGAAAAUGAAAGCUCUCCAAUUGCUUAACAUGUUUUCUUGUUUUCUGUAUUAGCAUUGUCAAAUUCCCAUCUCUGUGGAUUUUCUCCCACUCACUGUAGGCUUCCAAAUGUCAUGAAUUGUGACUCAACACAACAGAGUAUAUGUGUGCACAGAAGGAAAAGGCACAUGUGCAUUGUGGCAGUGCAUAGGGAGAGAAGAUCACAUCCCACAGCACAUUAACACAGAUGGUGGGGAGACCCCAAAACAGAUACUAUUCUGAUAAAAGUAAGUGUGUAUGCUUAUCCUUGCCAGUUAUCUCACUUCCUUUUCAGAAGUUUGAAAAGCAGGAGCAAGUUUAGUGAUUAGUGAGUCACUGAGUACCCCCAACACUAUUUUCCUUAUAUCUCUGUCUCCACACUUAAAUGGCCAAGGUACAUACUUUUUAAAAUGAAAAGUGAAAAUUCAGAGAAUGGAGCCUGACUAUCCCGGGGGGUGGGGUGGGGGUGGACUUCUGAAUGUCACUUUGUGACUGCAGCCCUGAGCUGCAAACAGCAUUGUCUCUUCCUCAGUUAGCCCAUCAUGCAUGUAAAUCCAGGUUGUUGGUCUUUUUGGUGGGACCCAUAUUGUCUUCCUGCUCUGGCUCUCAUUUCGUGGGACUGAUGCAAUUGUUUGAUCUGUAUCCUUCACAUGCUUUCAGUGGAGAGAAAAACAAAAAAGCCACAUUUGUUUUCCAUUAAGGAAACAAAAGGCAAGAAUUCACACAAUGUGUUUCUUACCAGGCUGUAUCUAAAAAGUGUAAAUGUGUUUUCCUCAAGGUCACUGAGCCAAAAAAUGAGCUAAGUUUUUCAAAGUCACAGAAAAGACUGUGCUUUGAAGAUUAUACCCCCAUCCAGGUCACCUUCCUCCAUCAUACAGGGUCAUCAGGAAAGAUGAAACAGCAACCCUCAAGUUCCAAGCACAUAUGGGGCCACCUCCAUAAUACAUGCUUAGGACACUAGGAAAGCACCCAAAAAGUCUGUAGUGCUGUUUUGCACACACCGAUCUCUACUGUGUGGAAGCAGAGGCUCUACCAUUUUCUUUCUUCCAACCAAGGGGGAAAAUCUUCUCUGUGUUUCCAAUGUACAAGUGGAGAUUUCUCUGGAAGCUGCUUUGGUCAUGAUGGAAAAUGUAACCACUCUAUUGAAACUUGGAACUUGCACUGGGAGGGUUUGGAAUUUGGAAAUGUCACAAGUUUAUUUAUCAUGUUCCUAUUUCCCCUCCAGGCAAAAUGCAAAAGCUAAAAGUGAGAGGCAUCUGAAGGGUCAUCACCAGUACCCAUGAUCUGCAGGAAAAAGACUGGACCCACGUUUUCUAGCAAGGUUCACUUGUGCUGAUUAAAAUCCUAGUCCCACCAGCACUUACCCUGUUUCUGU